rnacentral:rRNA from 1 species
UACGUAGGUGACCAGCGUUGUCCGGAUUUACUGGGCGUAAAGAGCGCGCAGGCGGUCGUUCAAGUCGAGUGUGAAAGCCCCCGGCUCAACUGGGGGGGGUCACUCGAUACUGAUCGACUUGAAGGCAGGAGAGGGAAGCGGAAUUCCCGGUGUAGUGGUGAAAUGCGUAGAUAUCAGGAGGAACACCUGCGGUGUAGACGGCUUUCUGGACCAUUGCUGACGCUGAGACACGAAAGCGUGGGUAGCAAACAGG